rnacentral:tRNA from 1 species
ACAUUGGUGGUUCAGUGGUAGAAUUCUCACCUUCCACAUGGGACACUGGGGUACAAUUCCCACCCAGUGCA